rnacentral:sRNA from 1 species
GCCAGGUGGGCUUCCCUGUGGUUCCAGUCACUGGGGAGGCUGAGGAAGGAGGAUUGCUUGAACUCAGGAGUUCAGGGCCAGCCUGGAAAAUAUAGCAAGACCCUGUCUCAC